AGUGAACGCUGGCGGUAGGCCUAACACAUGCAAGUCGAACGGCAGCACAGUAAGAGCUUGCUCUUACGGGUGGCGAGUGGCGGACGGGUGAGGAAUACAUCGGAAUCUACUUUUUCGUGGGGGAUAACGUAGGGAAACUUACUCUAAUACCGCAUACGACCUACGGGUGAAAGCAGGGGAUCUUCGGACCUUGCGCGAUUGAAUGAGCCGAUGUCGGAUUAGCUAGUUGGCGGGGUAAAGGGCCACCAAGGCGACGAUCCGUAGCUGGUCUGAGAGGAUGAUCAGCCACACUGGAACUGAGACACGGUCCAGACUCCUACGGGAGGCAGCAGUGGGGAAUAUUGGACAAUGGGCGCAAGCCUGAUCCAGCCAUACCGCGUGGGUGAAGAAGGCCUUCGGGUUGUAAAGCCCUUUUGUUGGGAAAGAAAAGCAGCAGGUUAAUACCCCGCUGUUCUGACGGUACCCAAAGAAUAAGCACCGGCUAACUUCGUG
rnacentral:rRNA from 1 species